AAGGCUGUACUUUCAGCAAUCAUUUCUACAGUUCCUCACCAGAGACGCUUCUCUGAACGUUAGGGCGCCAGAAACCAGGUUGAGGAGGCGCAGCAGCCUUUUAGGGGGAAGCUGCUCUCGGCGCUGCUUUGCUGCACCUGCACUUGUCAUCCAUGGCCUUUCUUCUCUUCCUGUGGGGGCGUAAGAGAGAGAGAAUGCGGUCUGAAUGGC